rnacentral:rRNA from 1 species
GGUUGCGAUCAUACCAGCACUAAUGCACCUGAUCACAUCAGAACUCCGCAGUUAAGCGUGCUUGGGCGAGAGUAGUACUAGGAUGGGUGACCCCCUGGGAAGUCCUCGUGUUGCAACCC